UUAUAAUCAUUAGUACUGACUGUAAGGAUAUGAAAUAGUUAAACUCUUUCUUGCUUUAAAAUAAUGUUUGAAAUAAUUAUGCUGACUUUGGCAGAUGUAUUUUGUACCAAGGUCUUUCGUCUACAGGAUGUAUGACCUUCCUUGACCUUAGGAUGUUCCUGUCUCGUCUUUAUCCAAAUGCUUAUCUUUUUCAUGUCCGACAAGUAUGUACUAUUAACUACAAGGACACUAUAGAUCUCACUGUUUGCAUGACAAACUGUGUAUAAAUGCUAGCCCUGAAAAUAUACUCAUUGAGAACUUGUUGAGCACUCUUUCGUGUCUGUGUGUCUUAUUUGCCAAACAAGAUCUCCCAUCAAUUGAUGUGGUGACGGGGGAUCGAGAAUCGAGGGGAGUUGAGACCAGAACAGCAUUUAUCCUUUCAGCUUGGUGUCUAGAAGUGGGAUCAGCAAAACCAUUGGGUGAGUAGCCUUUUUGUGUCUUAUUGACGCUAAUUGUCUAUGACCCCCUUUGGUUCAGUAAGUCUGUAUCCAGUAGAAAGGAAAGGUAUAAGGACUUUAGUUAUAUUGAGACUGUAAAUAGGUCUCUGGUUUAUUAGACAUUUGGUCUAAAUAUAUAUAGGG